rnacentral:rRNA from 1 species
UACGGAGGGUGCGAGCGUUAAUCGGAAUUACUGGGCGUAAAGGGUGUGUAGGUGGUUAAUUAAGUUAUCUGUGAAAGUCCUGGGCUCAACCUGGGAAGGUCAGAUAAGACUGAUAGACUUGAGUAUAGGAGAGGGUAGUGGAAUUUCCGGUGUAGCGGUGAAAUGCGUAGAGAUCGGAAGGAACACCAGUGGCGAAGGCGGCUACCUGGCCUAAUACUGACACUGAGGCACGAAAGCGUGGGGAGCAAACAGG